rnacentral:rRNA from 1 species
UACAGGGGGUGCAAACGUUGCUCGGAAUUAUUGGGCGUAAAGCGCGCGUAGGCGGCUACUUAAGUCGGAUGUGAAAGCCCUUGGCUCAACUGAGGAAGUGCACCCGAAACUGAGUGGCUAGAGUACGAAAGAGGGUCGCGGAAUUCCCGGUGUAGAGGUGAAAUGCGCAGAUAUCAGGAGGAACACCGUGGCGAAGGCGGGCUU